rnacentral:tRNA from 1 species
GCCUUCGUGGUUUAGUGGUCAACAAGCUCGGCGCGUAUUCGAGAGGUCCGUGGUUCAAAUCCCGGCGAGGGCG